rnacentral:misc_RNA from 1 species
GGGAGCACAUAAAGAAAGAGAGAUCCAACAGAGGACGAACAAAUGUGAAGCUAAUAAUGAAAGCUCUAAAUAAAACUAAGUCUUCCAUUAGAAUGUCAUAUAUAAUUAAAUUUCAAUCGAUUAAAACCACAUCCAACAGAAAUAAAAUUCAAUUCUAACAUGGGCACACUAACAGAUUCCAUAAAGUAAUGGAAGCAGGUUGCUCUAGAUCAAUUAAAGGUUCAAACUGAGUCAUUGAAUCUCACCAUGUUUGCACUUAAGUUAUCUUCCAAAAGCUACCCCCAACUCCCCCCACCGCAACCAAGAGUGAAUCCACAUCUUCCCCAAACCCAACAAAAAGUUCUUUAAACAAAAGAAUUCAUACCACCACAAAUAAAAUGUUGUUUUGAGCAAGUGAAAAAACAGCCAAAUCACCACAUGAAAACAAGAAUACCAUUAUGCUCCAAAACUAUAGAAUAAUAUUUAACCUAAUCUAAUUGAUAGAAGAAUACCUUCCAGU